rnacentral:tRNA from 1 species
AUAGAAGUAGUAUAAAUACACCAAUACAUUUUGCUUACACCGAAAAAUUGAUAACAAUCCUUCUUGA